GACGAACGCUGGCGGCGUGCUUAACACAUGCAAGUCGAACGGUGAAGCGCCUUCCUUUUUGGUGGGUGUGGAUGAGUGGCGAACGGGUGAGUAACACGUGAGUAACCUGCCCCCUUCUUCUGGAUAACCGCAUGAAAGUGUGGCUAAUACGGGAUAUUCUGGGUCUGUCGCAUGAUGGGUCUGGGAAAGAUAUUGUUUCGGUGGGGGAUGGGCUCGCGGCCUAUCAGCUUGGUGGUGGGGUGAUGGCCUACCAAGGCGGUGACGGGUAGCCGGCCUGAGAGGGUGGACGGUCACACUGGGACGGAGACACGGACCAGACUACUACGGGAGGCAGCAGUGGGGAAUAUUGAACAAUGGGCGCAAGCAUGAUGCAGCGACGCCGCGUGAGGGAUGGAGGCCUUCGGGUUGUGAACCUCUUUCGCCAGUGAAGCAGGCCUGCCUAGUUUGUGGGUGGGUUGACGGUAGCUGGAUAAGAAGCGCCGGCUAACUACGUG
rnacentral:rRNA from 1 species